rnacentral:rRNA from 1 species
UACGGAGGGGGCAAGCGUUGUUCGGAAUCAUUGGGCGUAAAGAGUAUGUAGGCGGCUAUUUAAGUCAGACGUGUAAGCCCACGGCUCAACCGUGGAAUUGCGUUUGAAACUAUUUAGCUUGAGUACAGGAGAGGAAGGCGGAAUUCCCAGUGUAGCGGUGAAAUGCAUUGAUAUUGGGAAGAACACCGGUGGCGAAGGCGGCCUUCUGGUCUGAUACUGACGCUGAGAUACGAAAGCCAGGGGAGCGAACGGG